AAAAAAAAAAAAAGAAGAGGAAGACUUUUCUGCCAAUACCUUAUUAGGGCGCACAGCACGCGCCCUUAUUUUCUCCAUUUAUGGCAAAAUUUAUAUUUUCGCCACUAUUGUUGAACAAUCAGUGAUAAUUUUCAAUUUUGCUACUAUAAUAAUCUAUUUGCUUAGUUUUAGUGGCAAUCUCCACUAAUUAUUUGCCACAAAAACUUUAUUUUCUUUAGUGAUUGCAGGUAAUUAAUCAAAUUGACUAGCUAGAAAAUUUGGCAACAUGUGUGUAAUCUCCUUAAUUUCCUCUUUUAUAUAACUUAAAUCUUUUGGUUUUUCAUCAGAUGCAAAAGCUCAUUCAAGAGAAUGAAAAGCUGCGGAAACAGGUAAUUUUAAUUAAUUAAUUAUUGAUAAACCUGAUUUAGUGAAACUUGUGAAAGUGUAAAUUUUUUUCAUAUUUGAUAGAAUUUUAUGUAGUGAUUAACUAAUUAUAGAUGGAUGAGCUUCAACGAAGUUCAUCAUUGUCAAAAUCGACAAUGCUGGAGUUUAAUCCAUUCGAAAGGAGAUUCUCUGUUGCAAGAACUGACAAAACUGCUAGCUAUGACGGAGGAGAGAAGGAAGAAGAAAGUGAUAAUGAUAUUUCAGUGACUUCAUUGCAACUUGGGCUAUCUUGUGAUGGUAAUAAGAAGAGGAAAGCAAGUAAGAGUGAAUCCAUGUGCAAUGAUUCAGAAAGUCAAUUGAGCUCAGAGUGAUUCACCAUGAGAAGAAAUUUUUUAUGUAGUCACUAUCCGCACAACUAAUAGGAUUUAAUCUUUAAUAAAGAUGGGAUUCAUAUGAACUCCAUCAUGAUUAGUUACUACAAUAAAAUUGUUGUAAUACAACAACUGUACUUAAAAAUUUAUCUACUACGAGAGAACCUUUUUUAGUUUAUGGUUUCAAGAAGAAUAAAACACGGGUAUUAUAGUUACA
rnacentral:misc_RNA from 1 species